UAGAAAAGAAAAGAAAAGAAAAAUGAAAGAAAUUGGGAAUUAUAACGUCACAUGAUGUCAUUAACAUGCCCCCACCCAAUCACAACUUGACAAACUAAUUAAAAGGGAUAAAAAAACUAAUUAAAAAGAGACAAAAUGAAAGACCAAUCUGCACUCCCAUCUUCAUCCUUUGGGCAGCCAAAACGUAGAGAGAGAGAGGAGAGGGUUUCCACCAUAGUUCAAGCUACCAAGCUUGGAAACCUUGCUUAUUUUGCACCAAAAACCCUAGAUCCCUUCAAUAAAAAUUACCCCCACACCUUGUAGGAGUGUUUGGCAGCCAAGAAAUGCCAAGAAAGUGAAGUUUAAACUUGAGAGAAUUCUGCUAAAAAAAAGGUUAGUGCUAACUCUUACAUUUUUCUUUUUAUUCCAUGUUAGGAAGUUCAAGUGAGUGAGAAAUUGUUAAGAAAUUGAAUAAAACACUUAUGUAGGAGUAUGUAUGAAUUGUGGAAGCCAAGAGAGGGUUAGGGUUUUGAUGGUUUAAUUUCAAUUAAGUUUGUAUAUUAAUGUCAAUUAAUGUUUACAUAUGAAUUGGAGUUGAAUGGAGUUGAAUCUUUUUGAGUUUGCAUGAGAAUGAGAUUUGAUCAAUUAGGGUUAGUAUGAAAAUUGGAGAUAUUGUGCUUGAAUGGUUAAUUGGAGUUCUAAUGGUCAAUUAGUGACCAU
rnacentral:misc_RNA from 1 species